rnacentral:lncRNA from 1 species
AGUGGACAAUGAAUACUUGAAUGUGCUGCCCUCGAAGGGUUAUAUGCAAAAGGUGACAGGUAACUGAAGAGAAAGUAAAUAAUAAGAAUAAAUUCCUACUAAAGGUGGAAUUUCAAGUCAAUGACAGGGCUCUGUCUUUGGCAGGAGGGGGUCCUCUCUGUGCUCCUCUCUGUCUCUCAUAGCACCUUUCACCGUGAACCCCCACUCCUUAUUUGGCAUCAUUUUGUUCCUGGAUACAGUUGUAGAUAAUCUGACAAAGGUUACUGGUCCCUGAAGUGCCCAAGUCACUCAGAGGGACUGUCUUUCUGUCUCUGUGAAGGAUAAGAAUAGAGAUGUUCCCAAUGACAUCCUGGUCUCAGGCUAUGCUGGGGAUUGGAGGAAGCAGGGCAUAUGACAUAGGGAAAUAGGAAUAGGUUCACUGCCUUCCCUCCCACCCCAGAUUUUUCCAGUCAAACAAAAGACAUGUGUUAAGAAUAAUUUGCAGCUCUGUCUUUAUUUUUUAAUUUAUUUUUUGUCUUUUUAGGGCCCACCCUUGGCAUAUGAAGUUCCUAGGCUAGGGGUUGAAUUGGAGCUGCAGAUGCCAGCCUACACCACAGCCAUAGCAUUGUGGGAUCCAAGCCAUGUCUGUGAUCUACACUGCAGCUUGUGGCAAUGCUAGAUGCUUAACCCACUGAAGGAGGCCAGGGAUCGAACCCAUGUCCUCAUGGGUACUAGUCAAGUCCGUUACUGCUGAGCCACAACGGGAACACCUGCCUCUUAAUGAAAGGCGUGUGUCCAACAUGGAGUCGUGGUGAUCAGUUCCUCAGUGGGAGGACAUGAAGGGAAAGGCCUGCUGGCCUUUUGCAGGGAGGUGGGGAUAUUGAGCUGCUGUGCUAAUAGGACAGCUUGGCCAAGGUCAUUUAGCAGGUAACCAAACUGCCUGGCCAUGCCUAGACCAGCUCACCAUUGUCCUGCAGGCCUCAUUAUCCCAAUUCAGAAGCUUAGCUGCAUCUGAGUCAGUCUCCUUGGUGGGGCUGUGGGGAGUGUGCGUGUCAGCAGUCUGGGCUUGUAGAGACUCUGAGACAAUACCACAAUACAAUAUUUUGUAGCAGGUAUGUGCUGAGUGUUCUUCUCUCACUCUCUGCAUUUGGGGCAUUCAGCAUAUAAUCUUACAAUUAGUUCAUUAAAAAAAAAAAAAACCUCUUUGCAGGUCACCUUUAAAACAAAGGGAGAAGCAAUUUUGAAUUUAGCCAUUUUUCAUUUUUGACAUCCAGUACCACCUCAAGCUCUGCAGUUACAAAUAAUGCUGGUGGGGAACGGAUCCUUUCAUGCACAUUUGAAGAAAGUAGGGUUAUACAUUAUGAAUAGGACAAGGAUAAAGGAAUUGGCUGUGUAGUGCAAGAUAUUUGGAGUGCAUUAAUCAGCCCAUCUCUUUUAGAGUGAGGACCAUUUUUAAAAACGGGUAUUAAACAGAACGCAAACAAUUUAUGCAAUUCGAGUCUGCUUGAUACAUGAUAGACAUAACGAGGGAAAACGGAAGAUAAAAAAACACAGGGAGCAAGACAUUUAAGAGGGGAAUUCCUCAGGGAAAAAUGGAGCAAAACCGAGCUUGGAAGGAGUACCAAGAUGGCAUCCAGUUGUGCUUAGAUUCCCUGACGCAUCGAUUCACUUCGCGCUUCUCAUGCAGUGGUUCGUUGCCUGCUGCGAGCCAGCCUUGACCCCCUGGAACUCAAAUUGUAGGGAGGGGACAUGCCUCCUCAGAGAAUUCCUGUGGGGCCUGCUUGAGGAACCACACCCAAGGCAGCCAUGUCAUUUAGGGAGGCUUUCCUUCCCAGGUGAUGAAAACACCAUUACCAGUGGCUUAAAUAGACUUGUGUAUUUCUCUCAUAACAGAAAGUCUGGAAGUAGGCAGCCGUGGGUUUAACACCUCAGUGGCAUGAAGGCUGGUAUGUCUGUGGUUUUCUUGGACUCUCCUUCAGUAUUUUGAGAUGAAAGCCAUACAUCAGCUUCCAGAACCAAGGAGAAGAGACAGAUGCCAGUGGUAAAGAGGUAGCUUGUUUCGUGACAGGAAAACCAUCUUUACAAGCUCCAGGGUAGAUUUCCACUGACAUCUCAGAAGUUCCAACUGUGUCAGAUGCCCCCCUUCCCCUGCCCCUUCCUCCCACCAGCUGCCAGGGAACAGAGGAAAUGAGAACAUGGCUUCUCAUGUUCUCCUAAGCCGUGCUCUCUACCCCAGGAGUCUGACAGGUGAGAGGCCAGUGGGCUCCCUCGCUCUUGGGUUUGGUCAGUGGGCAUCACUGGACAGACAGAGGGAAGGAGGGGAGCAAGGACGGGGUCUUGGGGGUAUCUGUUUCUUUGGCUUCCACCUGGUAUGUCUGCAGCAGGCAGGCAGCAUUGGCAGGCUCUGUCAGGUGGUCGUCUCCUCCUUGGCAGGUAACUGCUGGCUCCUUCUCCUUUCAGGCUUAUGAUGCCCUCAUCCCCCUGCCUGCAGCAUGUAUUUCAGGGUCCAUUAGGCUUUCUCUGUUGCCACUCCUUUGAAACUAGUCUAUUGGUAAAGAUCUUCUCAAAGGACCCAACCUGAAUGUGCAGUUGGCUGUCUGUACCCUGACCGAGAUGCUAGUAGUGUUCAGAAUGGGUGUUUGUGGAGCCAUCCAACAUUAUUUUUUUGUCUUUUUGGCUUUUCUAGGGCUGCACCUGUGACAUAUUGAGGUUCCCAGACUAGGGGUCUAAUCGGAGCUGCAGCCACGGGCCUAUGCCACAGCCACAGCAACACAGGAUCCGAGCUGUGUCUGUGACCUACCUUUCAGCUCAUGGCAAUGCCGGAUCCUUAACCCACUGAGCAAGGCCAGGGAUCCAACCUGCAACCUCAUGGUUCCUAGUGGGAUUCGUUAACCACUGAGCCAGGGCAGGAACUCCCAUCUGACAUCUUCUGUCAGAGGCACUGGUUCCUUGGGUGGGGCAUAGGUGGGUGGGUAUCAGAGAAAGUUCACAGAAAAGCUAAUGUUUCAGGUCAGUUUCAAAGAAAAAGUAGAAUUUGACCAGGUAUAGAAGGGAUGGGGGAUGGAGGGGAUGUGGAACCUUCUGGUAAGAGGAAUUAACUUAUGCAAAAGUGUAAAGAUGGGAGGAAGCAUGGGAGAGUUUAACAGUAGUUGUGGAGAGGAGGCCGUGAAGUAUGGGCAGAGGAGUGUGCGUCCUGAAAGCCAGUGGCCAAGCCGUCUGGAGUUUGAUUUGAGCGUGAUGGCAAGCCCUUAAAUGAUUUUAAGAAGGGUGUGGCUUAAAUUGUGUUUCACAAAGAUGAUUCUGGAGGAUUAUUAGAGUCAGGUGAGGAAACCUCUGGUGGGGGGGAGGGCGGUGGUUAGGAGGUUUCUACAACUUUUCUUCAUGAGAUGAUAAAAUCCUGAAUGAAGGAUAGCUUUCGCUGAUGACUUUCCCCAGCAAAAGGAAACCUUCCUCGCCCAAAGCACUUACUACAUAGCCCUAUUAUAUCCUGCGUCCCAGAGUAAUGCAGUAUCAUUAUCGUAAAAUAGGAGUCACGUAGUUCACUAUGUUAUUUUUUCCACUGAUCUAGACAACCCCAUGGGGACAGGGACCAUGUGUUAAAUUAUCUUUGUGUUCCCCGCACACAGCAAGGGCUGGCACAUGAGAGGCAUUCCGUAAUUGUUGGAUUGAAUGUAGGGACUGGCAUUGUCACCUACUGGCCUAUGCCUACUUUACCUGUACUUCACCUCUGGUGACUGUAGGAUAGCUUGAUUCUCAGAUCCUGUAGCUUUUCUUUUUCUGAUUGAAAGACAGAGGGGAGAAAAAUGAGAGCAGGAGGGCAAGAAGGAAGAAUGGCAGGAAGGAGGAAGUGAAGUGAGGAAGUGGUUUAAGUCUGGUCUUCUGGAUGGUGUGAUAAGAAGGGCAGUGAUGGGGGUGUUGGAUGAGCUAGUGGAUAGACAUUGACUGUACGCAACACCAGAAAGUUCAAACCAGAAGAAAUAGAAGCCAGUUCUACCUUGUUCCGUGAAAUGGAAAAGGGGAAAAUAGAUUGGGUAGCAACAGUGCAUACCUUAAUUCUCUGCACACAGGCUGGGUUGUUCCUACGGGGGUCAGGUAUUGCUGCCUGGAAGGAGUCCUGUCUGAAACCAGAGGGAAGGACCAAGGCUGCACCAGAUCCUGAAUCAUGGGCAGAAAUCAUCUUAGAGUUGUUUUUUUCAGCAGUCUAGCACAGGAUGAAAGGCCUGCUAACCCAUUUUCUUGAUGAUGUUGAAAAAUACAGUCUGACCAAAUGCAACCCUCAGAAAAAGUUGGGUAGUGGGGGGGGGGAGAAAAUAAUAUGUUUGGAGGGUGACCUGAAAAUAGUUUUUGAUAGUUAAGAAAGAUGCAGCCACAGACUAGAAAACAUAAGUGUCUAUAAAAACUUGAGAAUAUUCCAGGGGAGUUCCUGUUGUGGCUUGGUAGGUUGAGAACCCAACAUACUGUCUGUGAGGAUGUGGGUUCAAUCUCUGGCCUUGAUCACUGGGUUAAGGAUCAGAUGAUGCUGUGAGUUAUGGCAUAGGUCACAGAUGCAGCUCAGAUCCAAUGUCGCUGUGGCUGUGGUGUAGGCCUGCAGCUGCAGCUCUGAUUCGACCCCUAGCCUGGGGACUUCCAUAUGAAAUAAAGACAGUAUUCUAGAAAAAGUUUCACAGAAUAAUUAAAUGUGUCUUUAAAUCAUGUCUUUAAAACCUGUGAACUUGUGUUGGCUGGGCUAGGGUCUUGGGACUUCAGAAGAAAGUUUUCCAAUGAUUUCAAGCUUCUGUUCUAAACCAGACACUUGGCACCUUAUCUCAUUUAAAUCUUUUACAACUCAGAAGUUGAUGUUGUUAUAGUCAUCUUCCUGAUGAGGAAACUGAAGCUUAUAAAGCCACCCAAGGUCACACACAAAAGGUGAUAGAGAUGGGAUUUGGAUCUGAUUUCAGGGGCUGUAAACUUUGGCCAGCAUGUGAUUCUCAUGACAUUCAUAUCACUCUGUAUUUUCCCCCAGGUACCUAUAUUCUGUUAUUCACUAUCAUUCCAGAUGUCUGAUUCAGUAAUGAGGCCUAAUUCUUCCUCCCAAUGAGGGUUUCAUUUGUGAAGCUGCAUCUUGGUUCUUAAUCUUUCCUUGGAGAAGAAAAAUAGGGAUCAUUAGGACUCUUGAAUUAAUCUUUGUAAUAACAGUUUUUCUUUUUCUGUGGCUUUUGGUAUAGUUUUGAUGAUUUACUGUGUAUUGGUCCUACCAAGUAUUUAUUUCAGGAAUAGUGAACGACCCUCAUGACGAGGAAUGUGGUUUCAUUCACCUCUUUUUGCUUUUCAGUUAAAGCAGGUGACAGAUGCAUUUUGGAUGUGUUGGGCUUAGAGAGCAAACAAAACCCCCACCAGAUCACGGUAAGAGCAUCUGCUCUUCACUAUCAGCAGUGAACCUGGAGCCUGUGUAUGGGAUGCACAGCAAUCAGAGAUGAGUUCCUUAUUUCUUUGAGGUACUGAAGGGCAGGAUUGCUUGCUGAUGUUAAAUGUUCUGGGGGGGUGCUAUCUCAGGGACCAGCCACCACGGCCUGCAAUGCUGGGCCCUUCCAUGUGUGACCAAGAGCUUCUUGGGACAGUGGGAUCCUCUGGUCUUAGAGAAGCACCACCUUCUGUGACUUCUUUGUAAUUCUCUUUCUCCCUGUUCCAGUGACAGUUUCUUGUUCACUGGUGGAGGUCAGACUUCACACACCAUGACCGUUUGCCUGUCCCGUGGCACUGGCUCUUUUGUCUUCAAGCCGCCUUUGCCAUUGUCAACCUGCGAUCUGAGCUCUAUGAAGGAAUUCAGGCUGUCGGGAACCCUAAACCUAAGGCUAAGAGGAAUUCUUUAGAGGAUGAGUCUUUUCAGUAUUCAUCUCCUUAGUGAUUAUUUCUUGGUAUUGUCUUUGGUUACGGGGCUCAUUUGCCUACUUGCUUACAUUACUUUGUAAGACCCUGGGUCUAGUGUGGUGAUAACUAGAAUGUAGCACAAGGUUGAUAAGUGUUUGCUGAACAAGUGCCCCUCCCCCCAUCCUCAGCACAUGCCCAUGUGGUGCAUCUAUAGAAUGGAAUACUACUCAGCCAUAAAAAGAACAAAAUACUGAGAUUUAUAGCACUAUGGGUGCAACUAGUGAUUCUUAUACUAAGUGAAGUAAGUUAGAAAAAGAAAGACAAAUACUAUGUAUAUGGUAUAACUUAUACAUAGAAUCUAGGAUAUGGCACAAAUGGGAGUUCCUGCUUUGGCACAGGGGAAAUGAAUCUAACUAGUAUACAUGAGUAUGCAGGUUUGAUCACUGGCCUUGCUCCCUGGCCUCGUUCAGUGGUAGGGGAUCCAGCAUUACUGUGGGCUGUGGUAUAGGUCGAAGACAUGGCUUGGAUCCUACAUUGCUGUGACUCUGGUAUAGGCCAGUAGAUUUGACUCGACCCCUAGCCUGGGAACUUCCAUAUGCCACAGAUGUGCUCCUAAAAGG